rnacentral:ncRNA from 1 species
CAACUCUUGCUAAAUUUUAUAUAAAAUUUUAUAUAAAAACAGGCGUUACAUGGCUAUCGUCAGCUCGUGUUGUGAAAUGUUUGGUUAAAUCCUUUAACCCCUAUCGUUAGUUGCUAAUUUAUUAUAAACAAAUAAAAGUACUCUAACGAAAAAAAUAAUGAUAGAUUAAUGGAAGGUGGGGAUGACGUCAAGUCUUCAUGACCCUUAUGAGUUG